rnacentral:misc_RNA from 1 species
CUUCCAGCAUGAAUGGCCCCAUUCGCCAGCACUGUCAGUUGGAAGCAAGACGAAGCAAAGGCGAUCGACUGGAUUCGAUACGAAUAAUUGCAAAAUGAAUUUCAACAAAGACAACAAAUCAAAGAAGUAUUUGCGGCAAUUGGCCGUCAAUAAAAAGGUUGCCUAUUUGAUGGAUGCGCGCAAUUGCGCUUUUUGUGGAGCCGCUGGCAAAGAUUUGCGAAUGACGGAUCCUAUAUAAAAUCAAAGAUGAUGUCGUUGACGAUACAUUCAAUAUUAAUUGAAAAAAUGAUGCGUAAAAUCAGUGAAAACACAUAAAA